UACGUAGGGAGCUAGCGUUGUUCGGAUUUACUGGGCGUAAAGGGCGCGUAGGCGGCGUAUUAAGUCAGCUGUGAAAUCUCCAAGCUUAACUUGGAACGGUCAGCUGAUACUGAUGUGCUAGAGUGCAGAAGGGGCAAUCGGAAUUCUUGGUGUAGCGGUGAAAUGCGUAGAUAUCAAGAGGAACACCUGAGGUGAAGACGGGUUGCUGGGCUGACACUGACGCUGAAGCGCGAAAGCUAGGGUAGCAAACGGG
rnacentral:rRNA from 1 species